rnacentral:lncRNA from 1 species
ACUCAGAAAAAGAACAUUGAGUUCUGCUUCCUCUCUCUGCCUUGGCAGGCCUCACUCGUUUGUGAUUCCACUCGUGAUGCGGCGUGAGCUCGCAUACAUGCCUGGCUUCUCCAGCUGCCUAUGGCUUCAGCGGACAGCUGCAAGAUGUGCACCUGCAUCCUAGGAACAGAAUCUCCACUCCCUGACUUCUUCCCACCACCACCUGAGUGAGGGUUAGCAGCCCC